GCUCCUAUACUGACCAUAAUUCCCUUCUCAUUUCCAGAGAGAACCAUGUGAAAUGGAACAGACGCUGGCUCGGGCUCUAUCUGCUUUUCAUUUGAGUAGACACCCGAGGGAGUGUUGCUGGGCUCAGCUGGGGACCGAAUCCGCAGCCCAUUCUAGGGCAAAGAGAGGCAAGAAAAGAAGGCGAAGACCACUUUGGAUUCUUCCUUCUGAAAGAUCCCAGUCUGAGAGACACCCUUAUUCAAGUCUCAGGAAAUCGCGGACCCCAGACACAGAGAGACCAUUUUGGAUGUAAUAAGCAAAGGCGAGGUUUAUUACGAAGAUCUAUUAUGGGGAUCUCCGGGCCGACACAUACCCCACGCAGGAGACAGAGGUGUUGACCCCGAAACUUAAAAGUCAGGGGUUUAUAUAGGGAAAGCUAGGGGGUUU
rnacentral:lncRNA from 1 species